CCUGGAGUUGAGAUCUACAGUACCCUCACUCCUUCUCCUGCCCCUUGGGGGAACAUUUACAGCCAGCACAGGGUUUCUCUGCAGCCUCCUUGUCUCUGCAUGUGUAGCGCUGAUUUUUGUCACAGCUUAGUCAUCCGGGAACCGGUGCUGUCUCUUUUUUUAAGUGCACGCUGUUAGCCCUGAUCUAAGGGACCAUCCCACCACUCCUUGAGAGUGAAAGCCCAGUGAUUGGACUGUGGCUAGUGUGAAGAGGAUGGCCCGACGUUAAGACUUUUGAGAUCUUGGAAUCUGAAAAAUGCAUCAACAGCGAGCUCGCUGCCAGCCAGGCCUCCAUGUGAGCUUGCCUCCGUGUUCAACAAGCCUUUCACAUCUACUAGGACUCAAGCCGCUCAACAUCCUCCUGGCCGUCCCAGCCCCUCCACUUAGUAAACUGUACAUUCCUCAAGCAGCAAACAUAUCUGCUUGUCUCAGAUCACACCACUCCCCUUUGCCCCCCGGUGCCAUUUCAGCCUCCACCCUCCAGUACCUGAUUUCUGCCUCAUUUCCAGCUUUUGCUUCUCCAGCAGACAGCGGAGACGCUGCAAAGACGCUGACACUGACCCAUAAUUCCAUCCCAGAUCCCUCCAUGGCAAGAUAACUGACAUGGUUCAGAGACAUUCUGACUAAUCAUCCCUCCACACCAAUAAAUAUAUUCCCCCGUUGAUGCUGUGCAGACCACCUUCUUCAAGCUAAAUAUCCCCUUGGGGACAAUAAAGUAUAUAUUAUCUUCUCA